rnacentral:rRNA from 1 species
UGACACGUGAGAGGCGAGCGUUAUCCGGAUUUACUGGGCGUAAAGGGCGUGUAGGCGGCCGGGAAGGUCUUUUGUGAAAUCUCCUGGCUUAACCGGGAGGGGACGAAGGAUACUUUUCGGCUUGAGGGCAGCAGAGGGAGGCGGAAUUCCCGGUGUAGCGGUGAAAUGCGCAGAUAUCGGGAGGAACACCGGUGGCGAAGGCGGCCUCCUGGGCUGUUCCUGACGCUGAGGCGCGAAAGCGUGGGGAGCAAACAGGAUUAGAUACCCUGGUAGUCCACGCCGCAACCUAUGGACACUAGGUAUGGGGGGUAUCGACCCUCUCUGUGCCGAAGCUAACGCGUUAAGUGUCCCGCCUGGGUAGUACGGCCGCAAGGCUA